UAUUGCACUUUUUUGCUUUGAA
rnacentral:miRNA from 16 species